AGAGUUUGAUCCUGGCUCAGGAUGAACGCUGGCGGCAUGCCUAACACAUGCAAGUCGAACGAAGCACAUGAGUAGUUUACUACAAGUGUGACUGAGUGGCGAACGGGUGAGUAAUGCAUGAGCAACCUGCCCUUCAGUGGGGGACAACAGUUGGAAACGACUGCUAAUACCGCAUAACAUUAUCGGGAGGCAUCUUCUGAUAAUCAAAGAUUUAUUGCUGAAGGAUGGGCUCAUGUCUGAUUAGCUAGUUGGUGAGGUAACGGCUCACCAAGGCGACGAUCAGUAGCCGGUCUGAGAGGAUGAACGGCCACAUUGGGACUGAGAUACGGCCCAGACUCCUACGGGAGGCAGCAGUGGGGAAUAUUGGGCAAUGGAGGCAACUCUGACCCAGCCAUGCCGCGUGAGUGAAGAAGGUUUUCGGAUUGUAAAGCUCUUUCGGAUGGGAAGAUGAUGACGGUACCAUCUAAAGAAGCCCCGGCUAACUUCGUGCCAGCAGCCGCGGUAAUACGAAGGGGGCGAGCGUUGUUCGGAAUUACUGGGCGUAAAGGGUGUGUAGGCGGUUCUGCAAGAUAGUGGUGAAAUGCUCGGGCUCAACCUGAGAACUGCCAUUAUAACUGUGGGACUAGAGUGGUAGAGAGGAUAUUGGAAUACCCAGUGUAGAGGUGAAAUUCGUAGAUAUUAGGAGGAACACCAGUGGCGAAGGCGGCUUUCUGGACUGAAACUGACACUGAGGCACGAAAGUGUGGGGAGCAAACAGGAUUAGAUACCCUGGUAGUCCACACCGUAAACGAUGAGCACUAGGUGUCGGGGUCGCAAGACUUCGGUGCCGCAGUUAACGCAUUAAGUGCUCCGCCUGGGGAGUACGUACGCAAGUAUGAAACUCAAAGGAAUUGACGGGGACCCGCACAAGCAGCGGAGCAUGUGGUUUAAUUCGAAGCAACGCGAAGAACCUUACCAGGACUUGACAUCCCGAUGACCGGUCCUUAACCGGACCUUUUCUUCGGAACAUCGGUGACAGGUGGUGCAUGGUUGUCGUCAGCUCGUGUCGUGAGAUGUUAGGUUAAGUCCUGCAACGAGCGCAACCCUCGUGUACAGUUGCCAAUAUUAAGUUAGGAACUCUGUACAGACCGCCGUGGUUAACACGGAGGAAGGUGGGGAUGACGUCAAAUCAUCACGCCCUUUAUGACCUGGGCUACACACGUACUACAAUGGCAGCGAACAGAGGGUCGCGAAGCCGCGAGGUGGAGCCAAUCCCCAAAAGCUGCCCCAGUUCGGAUUGCAGGCUGCAACCCGCCUGUAUGAAGUCGGAAUUGCUAGUAAUCGCGGAUCAGCAUGCCGCGGUGAAUACGUUAGGCGGGUCUUGCACACACCGCCCGUCA
rnacentral:rRNA from 1 species